rnacentral:rRNA from 1 species
GGUACCCUCAGUCAGCACAAUAUUUCACAGGGCAAUAAUUUAUAUGCGAGAAAGUUUCAUUUUGUGAGGACUGCAUCCGCAGGAAUUUACACGAGAGGAAGUUGUAUUUUCAUGCGAGAAAGUGAUCAAACUUACAUUACACAUUCCAAAUCCCAAAACAGGAUAGUAGUAAAAGCACAACCAACUCUAAAUCUCUAGUUAACACAACCGGUGACAAUCCAUGGUGGUUACACAGGACUACGCUUUCUUCUAAAAAAGAGAAAAACACACAACUACACUACAGCGCAGACAAGCACAGCCAGAAGGAUUAAACCAAGUAUGCCGUGCGUGCAUGCACCGUAGCUUCCAGAUCAGGAAAAUAUGACAAGACUUGAAAUCACGACGUAGCUCACGUUAUCUGCGACGGCAAACUUUAUACUACCAAAGAAAAUUAAGAAAAACCUGCAACUGCGAAGGCUAAGGAGCUGUACUGCCGAGCAGACGGGUUGAUCUUCUUUUUUUGCGGGUCAGCCGUAGAAGCAGGCGACGGCGCGGCGGCGGGGCGGUGGCUGCAGGGCGGCGAGUAUUAGCCCCACCACGACGACGGCGACGACGAUGAGCACCAUGACGAUGUCCUCGUCCAGCGAGAGCAGGCAUACCUUCUUCCCCAUCGCCGCGCGUGUCUGGUGCAACUGGGCGGUGGUUUCUUUUCUCCACUGAAACUGAAAGGAAUUAAUCCAAGAGGGGUAUAAUAGUGGAACCGGAAGCGUGCUGGUAAAGGGACAAAAAUAUAUGACGUGUGUACAGUAGACAUUUCUGAAAGAAAAGGAAAACUACGUACAGUGGGGUGGCUCUGUCGGUCAACUGCGGGUUCGUUUCUUUAGUCAAUUCGAACCCAUUCCAACCGUCUAAGUAGACGAACCACCACCACCAAUUGGUAUUUGGUA